GAUGAACGCUAGCGGGAGGCCUAACACAUGCAAGCCGAGCGGUAGAGUUUCUUCGGAAACUUGAGAGCGGCGCACGGGUGCGUAACACGUGUGCAACCUACCUUUAUCUGGGGGAUAGCCUUUCGAAAGGAAGAUUAAUACCCCAUAAUAUAAUGAUUGGCAUCAAUUAUUAUUGAAAACUCCGGUGGAUAGAGAUGGACACGCGCAAGAUUAGAUAGUUGGUGAGGUAACGGCUCACCAAGUCAAUGAUCUUUAGGGGUCCUGAGAGGGAGAUCCCCCACACUGGUACUGAGACACGGACCAGACUCCUACGGGAGGCAGCAGUGAGGAAUAUUGGGCAAUGGGUGAGAGCCUGAUCCAGCCAUCCCGCGUGAAGGAUGACGGUCCUAUGGAUUGUAAACUUCUUUUGUACAGGGAUAAACCUACCCUCGUGAGGGUAGCUGAAGGUACUGUACGAAUAAGCACCGGCUAACUCCGUG
rnacentral:rRNA from 1 species